UCAAUGGAAAGGGAAUGUUUAUGAGAUAACAGAAAUCCACUCAUACGGACUUAAAAUUUUAUUUCGCUAGUGACAGGAACGAAUGACCCCAGUGCUCCUAAAUCAGAACCGUGUUUCUGGCCCCAGUUGUGAUGCAUUCAUGUGAAUCUCGCAAUCAUGUUUUUUUAAGUUCCCAUACUAUUUUAGGAAGAAGGUUAUAUUCUGGUAAUACUGACUUCUCGGCUGCCAAGUGCUGGCAAAAUUUUGCACGUCAGGUUUUUGUGUGCGUUUGUGAAGUUUCAUUCUGCUGCUUGUAUGAAGAACUUUGAAUUGUAAAACAUUAUAAAUGAGCUACUCUGAAUUUGAUUUUUGUUGCUAAUACAAUCAGCUGAAUUCUGACUAAAGAAAUUGGAAUGCACAGAAGAGGAUAACCAAUUAAAUAAUAAAAGUUUAAUCAGACCCUGAUUUUGCAGACCAUUUCAGCAUCUGUGUUCCAUGAGCUGAAUAUUG